rnacentral:rRNA from 1 species
UAGGGAAUAUUGGUCAAUGGGCGGGAGCCUGAACCAGCCAUGCCGCGUGCGGGAAGAAGGCCCUACGGGUCGUAAACCGCUUUUAUACGGGAACAACCGCAGCUACGUGUAGCUGUCUGAGUGUACCGUAGGAAUAAGGAUCGGCUAACUCCGUGCCAGCAGCCGCGGUAAUACGAAGGGUGCAAGCGUUAAUCGGAAUUACUGGGCGUAAAGCGCGCGUAGGUGGUUAGGUAAGUUGGAUGUGAAAGCCCUGGGCUCAACCUGGGAACUGCAUCCAAAACUGCUUGGCUAGAGUACGGUAGAGGGUAGUGGAAUUUCCUGUGUAGCGGUGAAAUGCGUAGAUAUAGGAAGGAACACCAGUGGCGAAGGCGACUACCUGGACUGAUACUGACACUGAGGUGCGAAAGCGUGGGGGAGCAAACAGGAUUAGAUACCC